CGGGAGGCAGCAGUGGGGAAUAUUGCACAAUGGGGGAAACCCUGAUGCAGCGACGCCGCGUGGAGGAAGAAGGUCUUCGGAUUGUAAACUCCUGUUGUUGAGGAAGAUAAUGACGGUACUCAACAAGGAAGUGACGGCUAACUACGUGCCAGCAGCCGCGGUAAAACGUAGGUCACAAGCGUUGUCCGGAAUUACUGGGUGUAAAGGGAGCGCAGGCGGGAAGACAAGUUGGAAGUGAAAUCCAUGGGCUCAACCCAUGAACUGCUUUCAAAACUGUUUUUCUUGAGUAGUGCAGAGGUAGGCGGAAUUCCCGGUGUAGCGGUGGAAUGCGUAGAUAUCGGGAGGA
rnacentral:rRNA from 1 species